rnacentral:rRNA from 1 species
CGAGAUCCAACUAGUGGCAACACCGGUGAAGAUCUAGUGGCGAACGGGUGAGUAACACGUGAGCAACCUGCCCCGAAGACCGGGAUAACAGCGGGAAACCGCUGCUAAUACCGGAUACCCCCAUCGGACCACAUGGCCUGAUGAGGAAAUGGAUUCCGCUUCGGGAGGGGCUCGCGGCCUAUCAGCUUGUUGGUGGGGUAACGGCCUACCAAGGCAACGACGGGUAGCUGGUCUGAGAGGACGAUCAGCCACACUGGGACUGAGACACGGCCCAGACUCCUACGGGAGGCAGCAGUGGGGAAUAUUGCGCAAUGGGCGAAAGCCUGACGCAGCAACGCCGCGUGAGGGAUGAAGGCCUUCGGGUUGUAAACCUCUUUCGAGCAGGGACGAUAAUGACGGUACCUGCAGAAGAAGCUCCGGCCAACUACGUGCCAGCAGCCGCGGUAAUACGUAGGAAGCGAGCGUUGUCCGGAUUCAUUGGGCGUAAAGAGCUCGUAGGCGGCUUGAUAAGUCGGAUGUGAAACCUCCAGGCUCAACCUGGAGUCGCCAUCCGAUACUGUCAUGGCUAGAGUCCGGUAGGGGCCCACGGAACUCCUGGUGUAGCGGUGAAAUGCGCAGAUAUCAGGAAGAACACCGGUGGCGAAGGC